CCUUCUCAUUCUUUCAUGUUAAAACCGACCAAGAUUAUGCAAGAUGAAAGCCCCUUUUGUCCUUUAGCCAGUUUUGGCUGCAAUAACUAAUCUAGUUUUCACCAAAAAUUUUCUUUGCUCUUUAAACGAAAACCUUUCCAUAGCUAAGAAAAAAGCAGUUAAAAAUUGUAAACCCUUCCAUGCAAGAAACAAUUAUUGACAAUGGCAUUCAGUAUCCUGAAAGUCCUGCUUUCUGGGUGUUGAUUCAGUUCAUGCAUGAUGAGGGAAAAUUUUUAUCACCAAUUCUAUCAGCUGGAAACCAUGAAGGGCCCAGUUAGGCCUAUUUAUAUUGUUGGAGCAUCGGCAUUAAUCUCAGGACUGCAUGAUAUAUAUCAGCCUGGUGUAUUUGAUCUCCUAGGGAAGGUCUUAGGACUGAAUUCGAUGUUAUCUAGGUUAAGCAGAGUAUUUUGCUAGCCCCUUCAUCAAUCUUGUUGAAACUCUAGCUGCGCUGAGAUUAAUUCUUCAACCCAUUCCAAGGAACUAGCUGAUCAUAUACUAGCUUAAGUUGGCUUUGAACCAAAUUUAGCUUCCAUUGGUUCAUUGAGAGUUGUGGGAUAGGCUCCUGGGUGAACUUGAACUGCUUUUGAUCAAUGAGAUGUUUAACGAAGAAUCUGAGUAAUACUAUUUUGUCUAUUGCAGCUACAAUAAAUAAGACAACUGUAUAUGGACUGUUACAUUAUGAUUAGAAUAAUGGGGCCCAGUUGACAGUUUAAAUAUUUCUUCAAUUUGAACAUGUGGCAUGGACAUGCUGUAUCACCUUAUGUGUCAAUAAGGUGUAAAGUGGACCCCCAAUGCCUGUCAACUUGCCAAGCAGGAUUAGAUUGGAAUUAUAAAUGAACAGUUUUCUCAUAUUCAACAUUUGAAAAUGGUUGGAAGAACUGAACAUUUUGUCCAGUUGAUCAAUACGUACUGCCUCGAUGUGGAAAGCAUCUUAGCACAACUUGCAAGCUCCAUUGAUCUCCCUGAAGUGGAUUUUUCUAAGUUGGCUGCUCUUGCUGCAGAAGUAACAGAGAGAAGCUCCCGGUAAUGUUGACCUUAGUUUGAAUCCUGGUUUAGUUCAUCUUAUAGAAUGUUUGCCAGAUGAAGAAUAUUGAUUGAAAUUUUUGUCUGAUGGUGUUUUUCUUUUAAGAGAAAAUUGUAGUAGUAAAUGAGUUCUUCAUUGUAUGCUUAAAGUAUUAAAACUAAUGUUGAACGUGGAAUAAUGUGUUCCUUGAUUAAGAAAAGAGUGCAUGUAUUUAUAGGUGAGGCAUGUGUUUUAGGUCUGCAGCGAAGAUUCGAGGUAUGGCAAAAUGCACAACUAACACAUUAGUAGAAUCACUGCCUAUCUAUCCCCUUUGAUCUAAAAUCAUUGCAGAUGCAGUGUAAAAUGAACAAAAGAUGUGGAGCACCUCCGCUGAAAUAGGAUGUUGAUUAAAUAGAAGCAUCCAUAUAUGCCAAAAAUAAAAUUCAAAAGGCGACAAACAAGUAUGUAUAGCCAGCAUGCGUUUUCUUACGUAUCAAUAUACAUCAUUAGAUUUUGCAGUUGGAAGACCAGUUGGCAGAGAGAGAAACAGGAAAAUAAUUAAAAGAUUGAACAUUUGAUCUUGUAAGGAUUUGUGAUGCUUCAUUUUAUGCAGCUUUAGCUUUUUUAAGAAAAACAUUUAUGUCCAAAGCAAUAUUUACUUUGUCUUGUUUAAAUUGAAAGUUAAGGUAUGAUAUUUUUAUGUAGUUUAGUUUUAAUUUAUGCAAUCAUUAUUUACGGAUUACCGAGUGGAUAAUAUCCCUUGCCCCCACCAAAUGCAUUUAAACAGUAUUGGUGCUGAGCACGUGAGACUCGCAUGUGUGGAUCUAAUGCAGGCCUGUGAGCAGAUGCAGAAGCAGAAAUUCCUCCUGGCCUUGGACUGGACAAAGACUGAGUUCACUCAAACCCAGAACAAGUUGCAGGUCCUUGUCCAGAUGGAGCGGAGGAUCAUGAGACUGGAAGCAAAACAAAAAAAUUAGUGGAUGGUGCUUGCUGCAUAUGGAGUAGUAUACUUGUAAUGAGCCAGCCUAUAGAAAUUUCGAACAGACCUUGGUGGUUUCGUUGGGAAAGUUUGGGAAAGACAAUGUAAUAGCAAUCGUAAUAUACAUGUUAGCAGGAAACUUGAGGCAGUAGUUUGGAAAGAGAACAUUUUUCACA